UACGAAGGGGGCUAGCGUUGCUCGGAAUGACUGGGCGUAAAGGGCGCGUAGGCGGUUCGGCAAGUCGGAUGUGAAAUCUCCACGCUCAACGUGGAGGGGCCAUUCGAAACUGCCGUGACUCGAGUCCGGUAGGGGAGUGUGGAAUUCCCGGUGUAGCGGUGAAAUGCGCAGAUAUCGGGAGGAACACCAGUAGCGAAGGCGGCACUCUGGGCCGGUACUGACGCUGAGGAGCGAAAGCGUGGGGAGCGAACAGG
rnacentral:rRNA from 1 species